rnacentral:rRNA from 1 species
AACGCGAAGAACCUUACCAGGGUUUGACAUGCGCACGACAAGCCGUGGAAACACGGAGUUCCUUCGGGACGGGUGCACAGGUGGUGCAUGGCUGUCGUCAGCUCGUGUCGUGAGAUGUUGGGUUAAGUCCCGCAACGAGCGCAACCCUUAUCGCAUGUUGCCAGCGGGUUAUGCCGGGAACUCAUGCGAGACUGCCGGUGUCAAACCGGAGGAAGGUGGGGAUGACGUCAAGUCAUCAUGCCCCUUAUGCUUUGGGCUACACACAUGCUACAAUGGCGGAUACAAUGGGUUGCCAAACUGUGAAGUGGAGCCAAUCCCAUCAAAGUCCGUCUCAGUUCGGAUUGCAGGCUGCAACUCGCCUGCAUGAAGUUGGAAUCGCUAGUAAUCGUGAUCAGCACUGCCACGGUGAUA